rnacentral:rRNA from 1 species
AAAACUUUCAACAACGGAUCUCUUGGUUCUGGCAUCGAUGAAGAACGCAGCGAAAUGCGAUAAGUAAUGUGAAUUGCAGAAUUCAGUGAAUCAUCGAAUCUUUGAACGCACAUUGCGCCCCCUGGUAUUCCGGGGGGUAUGCCUGUUCGAGCGUCAUUG